AAACUUUCAACAACGGAUCUCUUGGUUCUGGCAUCGAUGAAGAACGCAGCGAAAUGCGAUAAGUAAUGUGAAUUGCAGAAUUCAGUGAAUCAUCGAAUCUUUGAACGCACAUUGCGCCCCUCGGUAUUCCGGGGGGGCAUGCCUGUUCGAGCGUCAUUA
rnacentral:rRNA from 1 species